AGGCGGGGGAGGGGCUGCAGGGGUUUCCAGGCCUGCAGGCUGCGUGCUCCGGGGGCUGACGCAACUGUACAAUUUGGCUUCUUUUUAUCACAUAUAUCAUUUUGCCAUAUAUGGUCACCGAGAGCUACUGGCAGUGGGGCCCGGGUCCAGAUGGUGGGCUCCCAGGGUGGAAUGAGCUUCAUACCAGCCCAGAACAAACAGACCAUCGCUCAGCCGCCGGACAGCCAGGUGAAGCUGCCCAGGUGCGAAGGAUUCCCGAGGAGAGCACGAGUCAAAGCAGCGCGGCAGACAAGAGCCCAGAGUCUCCGGAACCUUUGCGUGCCAGUGGUCGGAGGGUCCCCCUUCCCUGCUGGCCUAACCUCCAGGGGAGCUGCCUCAGCCUUGCCGGGGUGCAGCAGGAUCUGACAAAGGUGACACGUGCAAUACAGAAAGCUAACCCUAGAGAGACUAAAAGAUGCUAAUAAAUACUGGGAUCCCCAGAAGAGGUCCAAACACCAGUUCUUUACACCCUGGGCCGUUUCCCAUUCACUUGUGAGGAUCUCACUCAACAGCUCCGACCUGAGGCAGCUCCCGAGGGCAAACCUAGGGACACUCACAGCAACAGAGGUCUCUGGAUGUCAAGGGCAAGGAGGCCACUAACCUCCCGCAUGGUGUCCUGAAGCCCUCCUCAGAGACCGCCCACUCUACCUAAAAUGUGGCCUAUAAUUCACUUCCAGAAUCGUAUUCCCCAGACCUCCAUCUCAGGGAGGCUUAAUCCUGAAACUUUUUAAAAUUAGCACAGCCACUCAGGAGGCUGAGGCAGGAGGAUUACAAGUUCAAGGGCGGUCCGGGCAAUUUAGCAAGACCCUAUUUCAAAAGAAAAGAAAAAAAAAGUCUGUGAGCAUGUGGUUCAGUUAUCCUUGGGUUCAAACCCCAGUCCUGGGGAGCAGAGCUGCUGCUAUUAGAACUGUUAGAGUCCGGGGUGCUUCUCGGGUGUAUGAUACAGCAUAACUGCGUAGAGUUGAUUCUCCAUCUUUCUAGGGUCUGCAUCCAUGAACUCAAGCAACCUUAGACCAAAAAUUCUUCCCAACGGGGUGGGGAUAUAACUCAGAAGCACAGCCCCUACCUGGCAGGCUCGAGUUUGAUCCCUGGUACCUAAAUAAAUAAAUAACCAAAAUACUUCCCCCCCAAAACAUCCAAGAAUAUUCCGAAAAGCAAAACUUGCAUUUGGUGCCCGAGGAGUAAGCAUUAGGCUGAAUCCACUCAAAGGAGGUGAUGGCUGGGCACAUCCCGCUGUGACCAUCGCUUCACCUGCCCACCACCUCACCAGCACUUGGUGUGAGCACUGUUCACCUAUCCGUACUGUAUUGUUCAGCCUGCUGUGGCUGUAUCUGCACUGGAUGGAUCCAGACUGUUUUUCCUUUACAUUAUCCCCUAAACAACACAGCACAGCAGCGCACUUACACUUAGUUAUAGGUAAUCAAGAGAUGACUUAAAAGUCUACAGGAGAGGCCGGGGUGGUGGCUCACACCAGUCAUCCCAGCACUUGGGGGGCUGAGGCUGCAGGAUUGCCCAGAGUCUGAGGCCAGUAUAGGCUAAUUCAAGGGCAGCUUGAACUGCAUAGCAAGAGCCUGUCUCAAAUAAAUAAAUUAUUAAAUAAAUAAAAGCCUACAGGAGAAUAUUCACAGCUUCUACGCAAGUACCAUGCCAUUUUCUGUAACAGACCUGAGCAUCUGUGGAUCGUGGCAUCUCCUGGAGUCCUGGAAACAUCCUCGGUGGAUACCAAGGGACCAUCCAGCUUCCCAGGUAGAUGUGUAACAGCUGCAAACCAGGCUGCAGCUUCUGAUUCCCUGGCUUGGGGGAGCCUCAGGCUCCCACGCAAACCCACUGACCAGGGACAUAAAGAGUCUUCUUGGUCAGUGAGGGUGAGCUGUAACCUGGGAGUUGGAAUCCUGAUUGUUGCUUGGCUCCGCCCUGAGUUGGCAGGGUCCCCCAAUACAUGCUCCUAAUUUCUUAAAAUCCUUGUCUCUUUAACUGUAAAAUCAGAAAGUAGAGAAGUUUGAUAAAGAUCGAAUAAGAUUAUUUACAUAACAGUAACUAUUACUUGGUAUUUACAUAAUAAUAAGAACUAUUGAACCAUCUCUGUACCAUUCCGUGUUGGCUGCUGGAGAUGUGUUAUUUCAUUAAGUUCUAUUCCUUUGUCUAUUUUAUUUUAUUUUAUUUUUUUGAGACAGGGCCUCACUGUGUAGUUCAGGCUGGCCUUAAAUUCACUGUACAGCCCAGACUGGCCCUGAACUUGUGGCAACCCUCCUGCCUCAGCUUCCUGAGUGCUGGAAUUGCAUGUGUACCACCAUGUCUGGCUCUUCUGCCAAUUUUAAAGAUGAGAAAACUGGCUCAGAGGAGCUAGAUCACUUGGCCAGCACCCCCCAGCUGCCACAUGGGAAGCUGGAAAACAGCUCGUAGAAUCCCAGAGCUGGAACCCCAGAGCUUGGGUGUCUAAGCAGCCCCAUUGCCUUCCUUCCACACCAGUCAGCCUUGAAAGAACUUAGUGCUAUUUGCCUUUCUUCUGGAAUGUCAAGGCCGAGCCUGGCAAGACAGGCUCAGGAAGGACACUCCGGUUUGUACAGAGAAUGCCCUUGGUGCUUGCCUUGGUGUUAGCGCAAAGGCAGUGUGGUGGGUCCACUGGCCUACAUUGUGGACACCCAGGAGUGGACUUCAAAGCUCACCCUUUCAUUUAAUAAGAGCACAGGAAUAGUGAGCGGUCCAAAGAGGAAGCGAAGCGGGGAGAGUGAGCCGAGCAUCUCAAGGGAGAGGCCACCUGAAUGAGAAGCCCGGGACUUGGGGCCAGCACUCUGCAAGUGGAGGCCAAGGCAGGAGGCCAGGUGAGAGGGCUGCCUGGAAAUGGUUUUGUCUCGGGGCAUGUUUUGUGUUCUUUGUUGACAGCACUUAAUGGAAUUUGGACUUGAGAGAUUAAAGUUCAAGAGACUGUUGAUUUCUAAGAGGUGCUUUGCCUGGAUCGAGGGGGAAGCGGCACCAGUAGGAAUUUUACCAUGUUGCCCAGCAGGCUGCCCGCAGCUGGAUAUAACUGGUAACUUAUCAGCUAUCGUAACUCGUAAUAGCUACUUAUCAGUAACUGUUAAAUGUAACUGCUAUCAUUUUAUAAUAUGAAGCCUAAAAUAAAUUGUAAGUAUAUAUAAUAUAAAAUAAUGUAUGAAAAAAAUUAUGGUUAUAUAUUAUAAAAUUAUAUUCAACACAUUAUCCCUCUCCUCUCAACAUCUUUUUAAAGUAUAUUCAGCUCUUAAUUUAAAAAUGAAGUAGACUGAUUUUGAAAGACAGUAACUUUAUAAAACAAAAGAGAAACCAGUUCCUAGCUACCUUAUUUGGUUGGUUACGAUCUUUUGGUUUUUCUGUUUGUGUUUGUUUCUCUGUUUGAGACAGGGUCUCAGUAUGUAGGCUGUCCUUAAACCCACUAUUAGCCCAAGCUGGCUUCGAACUCACAGCAACCCUCCUGCCUCAGCCUCCCAAGUGUUGGGAUUACAGGCAUGAGCCACCAGGACUGGCUCCCAGUUUACUAAAGCCAGAUUUAAAUGAUUCUUGCUCUUCUUCCUGAUGAUUUGAUUGACAGGAAAGUUUAACUUUUUGUUUCCCUCUUGCUGGAUUUAAUGGCCACACUUUCUUCUUUCUACAAGGAAAGUGUCUCAGACUUUGGAAUUCGCAUCGCUCAGCAUUGCACUGGCUGCUGUACAGCCCAUGGUGCUGCUGGGUUUGAAGGUGGGUGUGUGGCCCUUCUCGGUCCCUACCCCUGUGUCAUUGCAUCACAGGGAUAUGAAAUGUAUGCAGCAGGAAGCCUCCCUGUGGGAGCUGGUGCUCCAUUUGCCUUCCAGGGGGAAAAAAGCAGAUAAGAAAAACCCACAAAAAGCUGUGCAAUGAUUCAUUUUUUUUUGGUCUUUUUGUUUUUAUCGGUACCCGGGAUUGAACUCACGACUGCCUGCUUGCAAGGCAGGCGCUUAUGCUGCUGAGCUAAAUCCCCAGCCCCUGUGCAAUGAUUCUUGAUCCUAUCAGAUGCACCCCAAGGGAGACAGAAGCUCACCCCAGGGAAGAGCACACCAGGCCCCAGGGAGGCUGAGUCAGGGAAACCACACCGAGGAGACUCAGGCUCCUCAGGGGCCGUGUCAUUCUUUUAAAACAUUUCCACUGUAAUUUUCAAAUAUGUACAAAAGCACGGGAAAUAGGAGGCCCUCCUGCCGCUCACUCAGUUUUAAGUUGUCAGCACUGUUGUUCUGGCUUCAUCCUUUCCUCCCACAUGGCUUUUCCUUUUUCUGGAAUACUUAAAAGCAAAUUUCACAUCUAUUACUUCACCCAUAAAUACAUCAGCAUUUAUCUCUA